rnacentral:rRNA from 1 species
CUAUUAUGGAGAGUUUGAUCCUGGCUCAGGACGAACGCUGGCGGCAUGCCUAAUACAUGCAAGUCGAGCGAAUGACGAAGAAGCUUGCUUCUUCUGAUUUAGCGGCGGACGGGUGAGUAACACGUGGGCAACCUGCCCUGUAGAUUGGGAUAACUCCGGGAAACCGGGGCUAAUACCGAAUAAUCCAUUUCCUCACAUGGGGAGAUGUUAAAAGACGG